rnacentral:rRNA from 1 species
GUGCCAGCCGCCGCGGUAAUACCGGCAGCCCGAGUGAUGGCCGAUCUUAUUGGGCCUAAAGCGUCCGUAGCCGGCCGGGCAAGUCCGUCGGGAAAUCCACCCGCUUAACGGGUGGGCGUCCGGCGGAAACUGCUCGGCUUGGGACCGGAAGGCUCGAAGGGUACGUUCGGGGUAGGAGUGAAAUCCCAUAAUCCCGCACGGACCACCGAUGGCGAAAGCACUUCGAGAAAACGGAUCCGACAGUGAGGGACGAAAGCCAGGGUCUCCAACCGGAUUAGAUACCCGAGUAGUCC